rnacentral:rRNA from 1 species
UACGUAGGGAGCAAGCGUUGUCCGGAAUCAUUGGGCGUAAAGCGCGCGUAGGUGGCUUCGUAAGUCCGCUGUGAAAGUCAAAGGCUCAACCUUUGAAAGCCGGUGGAUACUGUGAAGCUAGAGUACGGAAGAGGCGAGUGGAAUUCCUGGUGUAGCGGUGGAAUGCGCAGAUAUCAAGGAGGAACACCAAUAGCGAAGGCAGCUCGCUGGGACGUUACUGACGCUGAGACGCGAAAGCGUGGGGAGCAAACAGG